rnacentral:rRNA from 1 species
AACACCGCUGGCGGCGGCUACCAUGCAGUCGAGCGCCGCUUCGGGUGACGGCGGCGGGUAUACGCGGUGGACUGCCUUCUCUAGGAAUACCUUGGAAACGGGAGUAUACGUAUACGCCCUUUGGGGAAAUUUCGGAGAAGGAUCGGCCCGCGUUAGAUUAGGUAGUUGGUGGGGUAACGGCCUACCAAGCCUACGAUCUAUAGCUGGUUUUAGAGGAUGAUCAGCAACACUGGGACUGAGACACGGCCCAGACUCCUACGGGAGGCAGCAGUGGGGAAUCUUAGACAAUGGGGGCAACCCUGAUCUAGCCAUGCCGCGUGAGUGAUG